rnacentral:rRNA from 1 species
ACGGGGGGAGCAAGCGUUGUCCGGAAUUACUGGGCGUAAAGGGCGUGUAGGCGGUUUAAUAAGUCAGAUGUAAAAGCCCCCGGCUCAACCGGGGAUGGUCAUUUGAAACUGUUAGGCUUGAGUGUGAGAGAGGGUAGUGGAAUUCCCAGUGUAGCGGUGAAAUGCGUAGAUAUUGGGAAGAACACCAGUAGCGAAGGCGGCUACCUGGCUCACAACUGACGCUAAGGCGCGAAAGCGUGGGGAGCAAACAGG